rnacentral:tRNA from 1 species
AGUAAGGUCAGCUAAUCAAGCUAUCGGGCCCAUACCCCGAAAAUGUUGGUACACACCCCU